rnacentral:rRNA from 1 species
UACGUAGGGGGCAAGCGUUGUCCGGAUUUAUUGGGCGUAAAGAGCGUGUAGGCGGUCAUGUAGGUCCGUUGUGAAAACUCGAGGCUCAACCUCGAGACGCCGAUGGAAACCAUGUGACUAGAGUCCGGAAGAGGAGAGUGGAAUUCCUGGUGUAGCGGUGAAAUGCGCAGAUAUCAGGAAGAACACCCGUGGCUAAGGCGGCUCUCUAGUACGGUACUGGCGCUGAGACGCGAAAGCGUGGGGAGCGAACAGG